GACGAACGCUGGCGGCGUGCCUAAUACAUGCAAGUUGAGCGCUUAAUAUUGGUGCUUGCCCCACUUUGAAGAGCAGCGAACGGGUGAGUAACGCGUGGGAAAUCGUCCUUUAAGCGGGGGACAAAAUUUGGAAACGAAUGCUAAUACCGCAUAACAACUUUAAACAUAAUAUUUAAGUUUGAAAGAUGCAAUUGCAUCACUCAAGGAUGAUCCCCCGUUGUAUUAGCUAGUUGGUGAGGUAAAGGCUCACCAAGGCGAUGAUACAUAGCCGACCUGAGAGGGGGGUCGGCCACAUUGGGAAUGAGACACGGCCCAAACUCCUACGGGAGGCAGCAGUAGGGAAUCUUCGGCAAUGGAAGAAAGGCUGACCGAGCAACGCCGAGGGAGUGAAGAAGGUUGUCGGAUCCGAAAAACCUGGUGGUAGAGAAGAAAGUUGGUGAGAGGGGAAAGAUCAUCAAGUGACGGUAACUACCCAGAAAGGGACGGCUAACUACGUG
rnacentral:rRNA from 1 species